rnacentral:rRNA from 1 species
GGACCGGCGGGCGUGCUUACACAUGCAAGUCGAGCGGUAACAGGUGUAGCAAUACAUGCUGACGAGCGGCGAACGGGUGAGUAAUGCUUCGGAAUCUUCCUCGUAGUGGGGAAUAACCUGGGGAAACUCAGGCUAAUACCGCAUACGACCUACGGGUGAAAGCGGGGGAUCGCAAGACCUCGCGCGAUAAGAUGAGCCGAUGUCGGAUUAGCUAGUUGGCGGGGUAAAGGCCCACCAAGGCGACGAUCCGUAGCUGGUCUGAGAGGAUGAUCAGCCACACUGGAACUGAGACACGGUCCAGACUCCUACGGGAGGCAGCAGUGGGGAAUAUUGGACAAUGGGCGCAAGCCUGAUCCAGCCAUGCCGCGUGGGUGAAGAAGGCCUUCGGGUUGUAAAGCCCUUUUGUCCGGAAAGAAAAGCACUGGAUUAAUACUUCGGUGUUCUGACGGUACCGGAAGAAUAAGCACCGGCUAACUUCGUGCCAGCAGCCGCGGUAAUACGAAGGGUGCAAGCGUUACUCGGAAUUACUGGGCGUAAAGCGUGCGUAGGUGGUUCGUUAAGUUGGACGUGAAAGCCCUGGGCUCAACCCAGGAAUUGCAUUCAAAACUACAGGCCUAGAGUGAUGGAGAGGGUAGCAGAAUUCCUGGUGUAGAGGUGAAAUUCGUAGAUAUCAGGAGGAACACCGGUGGCGAAGGCGGCUGCCUGGACAUCAACUGACGCU